GAUGAAGAACGCAGCGAAAUGCGAUAAGUAAUGUGAAUUGCAGAAUUCAGUGAAUCAUCGAAUCUUUGUACGCAACUUGCGCCUUUUGGUAUUCCGAAAGGCAUGCCUGUUUGAGUGUCAUAUAAACCUCACCUCUACUGUUUUUCAUUAGACAUGUGGACUGGUGCUUUGGGCGUCUGCCGUUUACUCUGGCUCGCCUUAAAUGUCUAAGUGGAAUGCGUAAUAAGUCUUCGCAACCCUCCACUCUAAUACAAACUUUUAUAUUCUGACCUCAAAUCAGGUAGGACUACCCGCUGAACUUAAGCAUAUCAAUAAGCGGAGGA
rnacentral:misc_RNA from 1 species